GUGAGUCAUCGAAUCUUUGAACGCACCUUGCGCUCCUUGGUAUUCCGAGGAGCAUGCCUGUUUGAGUGUCAUGAAAACCCUCAACCCUAGAUUGGUUAAAACCUUUCUUUGGUUUGGAUUUGGACGUUUGCCGAUGAUAAGUCGGCUCGUCUUAAAAGUAUUAGCUAGAUCUGUCUCUAUGACUGGUUUGACUUGGCAUAAUAAGUAUUUUGCUGAGGACAUCUUCGGAUGGCCAGGACCUAGACUAUUGUCUGCUAACUAAACCAUCACUUUAAGUGCAUCUUCGGAUGUUACUCAUUGUGUAACUUUGACAUCUGGCCUCAAAUCAGGUAAGACUACCGCUGAACUUAA
rnacentral:rRNA from 1 species